rnacentral:rRNA from 1 species
UACGGGGGGAGCAAGCGUUGUUCGGAUUUACUGGGCGUAAAGGGCGCGUAGGCGGUCGUGACAAGUCACUUGUGAAAUCUCCGGGCUUAACUCGGAACGGUCAAGUGAUACUGUCGGACUAGAGUACAGAAGGGGCAACUGGAAUUCUCGGUGUAGCGGUGAAAUGCGCAGAUAUCAGGAAGAACACCUAUGGCGAAGGCGGCUCUCUGGGCCUUACCUGACGCUGAGGAGCGAAAGCGUGGGUAGCGAACAGG